CUCACCCAACCGGGCAAAAGCUAAUCCUCGUGAGGAAACCGAUCAUCGGGACACCACCGACCCCGCGGCGAUGUCGGAGGAGGCGAAGUACCUGGAGACGGCGCGGGCCGACCGCUUCAUGUGGCUCAUGAAGUGCCCCACUGUCGUCUCCCGCGCCUGGCAGGAGGCCGCCGCCGCCGCCGCGGCGCUCGGCCCCGACGCCGGCGGUGCCGACCCUAACCCUGACGUCGCUAAGGUCAUCCUCUCCCUCGAUCCCCUCCGCGACGACGAUACGCCUAGCCAGGCAAGUGCCUCCUGCUAGCUCCCCUCAUCACAUUGCCUCGCUGUGUGCUGUUGUUCCGUGCAAUGCGUUUCGAUCGAUUCGUUCUCGAUCUCUACGUCAGCGUAGACCGAACUAUGGGAACGAAUGGGAUUGGUGGAUCUAACACGCUGCCAAGUUAUUGCAAUAGUAUUCGUGGAGGUGCAGUGGACUGAUGUUGAAGUAGGUUCUGAGGGCUAGAUGAUAAGAGUUAUCAGUCCCCAGAGAUGAUUUUUUAAUUGAACAUGUUGUUUUCUUUGAUUUUUAAUCGAUCGGACAGCUUUUAUUUCUGUCUCGUAACAAUUGGAACUCUAUAGGAGUGUCUUUGGAUAGUUGGAUAUGUGUCAUCAUAUUCAUGUAGAAGUCGAUGAGCAAUUUCUGUGCCUACAGUCAGGCGGGACAGAAAGAAAGUUGGGAGUCAUGCAGUUCGUGUUUAGUGUAGAGACUAGAGAGAUAGAAGAAAUGUCUACCCUGUGGUUCAGGAAUGUGCCCCAGUUAUUCCAGUCACUUUAAGAUAGCUUUGCUCAAUGAAAAUUGUUUUAGACCAUUCUUUUUGUAUGCUAUAUCUAGCACUUAUGGUACUUAUGCUUCUUACGUUGUGUUAAUGACACAAUAGAUCAAGAUGGAGAUGACUCAAGCAAGCAGUGGCAAUACACCGAAGAGUUACUCUCUGAAUAUUCAGUGAUUUUGUGCCAAUGUGCAUUUUUUCUGAGUCUAACCAAGGUUGGAGCCAGGCAUAUUUAAUUAACUUUCAUUGUCAUGUUUCCAUGUAUCUAUUUAUCUCUACUUGCGCAAAUUUUCAUAAAGACAACGUUGCAAACGCUAAUUGUUGCAAGUUGUUUUCUAGGCUCUAGCAAACUGAUGCUUGGUUACUGAACCUUCAAACUAUUUUAACAUUGAACAGCAUCUUUACGACCUUGAUGCUCUGUAGAAUGAUACAAGUAUAUAUAUGUCUUACUAGUUUAAAACAUUUUGUAUUAUAAAGUAAAGCUUAAACAUAUGCUUUAGAAACCUUUUAUUGUGGAAAAUAGUGCUUGUUUUUGGAGGGGGUAUAGCAUUAACUAAUUGGGUUCAAUAAUUAGAAGCAUGCUAGGCAAUUUCACCAAAUGGCUUCCACUAUUAGGAAAGCUUGUCAGUUCUGAUUGAUUGUAGAAUGGUUUGCAGUCCAUUUGAAUGCCAAAUAAGUUGCCUGGGUUUUUGUGAUAUCUAUCGCAUUCUGAGACUAGUCAAAUCUACUUACAAAGAAACAAGGACAUGGUUGCAGAGGAUGCAUCUAUUAAUAUGUGUGGGCUAUGCUGCCAUGUUGACCAAUCGGGUCAUACAGUUUUGGGUGCAUUCCUCGGUGGAUCCAUCUGUAUAUUUGUGUAUGUGACUAUGUCUAAACUUAAUUCUAGUAAGCGCCCAAUUGACGGAUGAUUCCCAAUAUGAGUAACUUAAUUUGUGUUCUUUUUCCUUGAAUACACUCAAUUUGUGUCUCAUUGUGUACUCCUGACUUUGCACACGAAAUUUCAUACUACCUAGAAGCCAUUUCACUUAACAGAGGAAAUUAUGUCCUGUACACCCCAUCAGAUAGGUCUUUGUGUAAAGCUAACAUACUAAGCUUUGGUUGUUGCAUGACCAUGCUAUAGGUAAGGUAACCCAUAUGUCUCGAUGAGGUCUCUUAAUUAUAUUAUAUAGGCUUUAGCUUGAUCAUGUAUGUAAAUGACAACAUGUUAAAGAAAGUGACCAGUGUUUCGUAAUACUGUUUUACACUUAUAUUUUUCCUCCAAAACUACAUCUUACUUGCACCAUAUUUAUCUUCUGCCUUUAAAAUUUCUUUGUGUAAUACCUCACAUGAUAUGCGCUGUGCUCUAUUGAUACUCCCAGAACUAUGUUUUAGUGUUCAUAUUUGUCAAUAUUUUAAUUACAAGCUAUGUACUUAGUUUGUUUCCUGUACCACACAAUUUAACCUCUAAUUUCUUUACAUGGAAACUUGCUUGCGAAGGGAAAGUUGAAAACAAAUUUGACAUGAAACUGCACAGGGGAAAUCUUAUGGACUAUGGAAGGUUAUGCCGUGAGAGGACCAAUAUGUCCAUGGUCAAAAUAAGAAGAACGGAGUUAAUUCUAGAUGACAAUGGAAAAGGCAUGAGACCUAUGACUGGCAACCAGCUGGUACAUCCUGGCCAAAAGGUGUUAUUUGUAACGUAUCUAAGGACAAGAAGAAGCCACCGGUAACAAAACCAAUUAACAUGAAAAGAACACGAAUGGAUCGUGGGCAACUGGAAAACAAACUAUUCAACCUUUUCGAGAGCAAUUCCUGAAGGAGAUACUGAACACGCUCUAUGUCUACAACAAGUGAGGGCUAAUCAAGGGAUGCAUGAUGGCACGAGCUCAAGCCUGAAUACAAGAAGAGUACAGGAGACAGCCCCACUAAUUGAAGCUUGUGCAUCAUUUACAACUUAGAACCUCUUUCCUGAUGUGUUGAAUAUGACUUACCGAUUCUGUCAUGGGAGCUCUCAGCUGUUUGUUGUUGCGUAUAAGUAGAUCUGCUUUGUCUCAUUGGUCGUCACUUACACUAGUUGGUACUUGUGGGCCGAUAAUCUUUCAUACCACUGGCAGUUGUACGUGUCAAUGAACCGGAGUGUGGCAAACUUGUAGUAUUUCACAUUUUCAAUAUAUGGGAACAAGGAUCGAGAUCCGCAAUUAUAUA